UUUAAGGUCUAAUCUGCCCUAUGAGGAGUUAAAUGGCCGCGGUAUUUUGACCGUGCAAAGGUAGCAUAAUAAUUAGUUUUUUAAUUGAAAGCUGGAAUGAAUGAUUGGACGAGAAAAUUUCUGUCUCAUUUUAAUUUUAUUAGAAUUUUAUUUUUAAGUAAGAAAGCUUAAAUUUUUUUAAAAGACGAGAAGACCCUAUAGAGUUUAAAAUUAUGUUUUAUUUUGAUUUUUUAGUAUUUUAAUAUUAGAAUUUUAUAUAUUUUUUUGUUGGGGUGAUAGAAAAAUUUGAUUAACUUUUUUUGGAAUUUAUCAUUGAUAUAUGAUUAAAUGAUCCAUUAUUUAUGAUUAUAAGAUUAAAUUACCUUAGGGAUAACAGCGUAAUUUUUUUUAGAGUUCUUAUCGAAUGAAGGGAUUGCGACCUCGAUGUUGGAUUAAAAUUAAUAUUUGGUGAAGAGGCUGGAUAAUUAGGUCUGUUCGACCUUUGAAAUUUUACA
rnacentral:rRNA from 1 species